rnacentral:rRNA from 1 species
AGGGGAUCUUCGGACCUUUCGCUAUGAGAUGAGCCUGCGUUAGAUUAGCUAGUUGGUAGGGUAAAGGCCUACCAAGGCGACGAUCUAUAGCUGGUCUGAGAGGACGAUCAGCCACACUGGGACUGAGACACUGCCCAGACUCCUACGGGAGGCAGCAGUGGGGAAUAUUGGACAAUGGGCGAAAGCCUGAUCCAGCAAUACCGCGUGUGUGAAGAAGGCCUUAGGGUUGUACAGCACUUUCAAUUGAGAGGAAAACCUGCCGGCCAAUACCCGGUAGCUUGACAUUACCUUUAGAAGAAGCACCGGCUAACUCCGUGCCAGCAGCCGCGGUAAUACGGAGGGUGCGAGCGUUAAUCGGAAUUACUGGGCGUAAAGCGUGCGUAGGCGGUUCGUUAAGUCAGAUGUGAAAGCCCUGGGCUCAACCUGGGAACUGCAUUUGAAACUGGCGGACUAGAGUUUAGUAGAGGGGAGUGGAAUUUCAGGUGUAGCGGUGAAAUGCGUAGAUAUCUGAAGGAACACCAGUGGCGAAGGCGACUCCCUGGACUAGAACUGACGCUGAGGUACGAAAGCGUGGGUAGCAAACAGGAUUAGAUACCCUGGUAGUCCACGCCGUAAACGAUGUCGACUAGC